CCUACGGGUGGCAGCAGUAGGGAAUCUUUCACAAUGGGCGAAAGCCUGAUGGAGCAACGCCGCGUGCAGGAUGAAGGCCUUCGGGUUGUAAACUGCUUUUAUAAGCGAGAAAUAUGAUGGUAACUUAUGAAUAAGGAUCGGCUAACUACGUGCCAGCAGCCGCGGUCAUACGUAGGAUCCGAGCAUUAUCCGGAGUGACUGGGUGUAAAGAGUUGCGUAGGUGGCAUAAUAAGUAGCUAGUGAAAUCUGGUGGCUCAACCAUUCAGACUAUUAGCUAAACUGUUAAGCUCGAGACCGUUAGGGGUAACUGGAAUGUCUAGUGUAGGAGUGAAAUGCGUAGAUAUUAGAAGGAACACCAAUAGCGUAGGCAGGUUACUGGGACGGUUCUGACACUAAGGCACGAAAGCGUAGGGAGCAAACGGGAUUAGAUACCCGAGUAGUC
rnacentral:rRNA from 1 species